AUUGAACGCUGGCGGCAUGCUUUACACAUGCAAGUCGAACGGCAGCACGGGUGCUUGCACCUGGUGGCGAGUGGCGAACGGGUGAGUAAUAUAUCGGAACGUGCCCUAGAGUGGGGGACAACCAGUCGAAAGAUUGGCUAAUACCGCAUACGAUCUAAGGAUGAAAGUGGGGGACCUUCGGGCCUCAUGCUCCUGGAGCGGCCGAUAUCUGAUUAUGUAGUUGGUGGGGUAAAGGCCUACCAAGGCGACGAUCAGUAGCUGUUCUGAGAGGACGAUCGGCCACACUGGGACUGAGACACGGCCCAGACUCCUACGGGAGGAAGCAGUGGGGAAUUUUGGACAAUGGGGGCAACCCUGAUCCAGCAAUGCCGCGUGAGUGAAGAAGGCCUUCGGGUUGUAAAGCUCUUUUGUCAGGGAAGAAAUUGCCUGGGUUAAUACCCUGGGUAGAUGACGGUACCUGAAGAAUAAGCACCGGCUAACUACGUGCCAGCCGCCGCCGUAA
rnacentral:rRNA from 1 species